UUUCUCAUGGCCUGAACUGCAUGAGGGCAAGUGUAUAAAACCUGCCUCACACUUGAGUUUAGAGAGAGGAGAACUGCUCAAGGAGAACAGCUGCACAAAGAUAUAGACUCCAGAUAACUAUAAGUAAUUAUUGCAUAUUCCCGUCAUUGUCCACAAAGAUGAAACUUGUCAUUCAGAGCAUCAUUCUCUUGGUCUGUGGGGUCGUUUGCAAUUCAGCAAUUCUGAAAUGCCAGUGUUUACGGACAUCCAAGACAGUACAGCCCUCUCUCAUCAAAAAAGUUCAGGAGAUUCCGCCUCGUCCAUAUUGUAGCAAGCUGGAAAUCAUAGUCACACUGAAAAACAAUGUCAAAGUGUGUCUGGACCCCACCCAUAAAUUUGCAAAAGCAGUCCUGCAAUCUAUAAAAGUGAAAAGUGAAAGACAAGCUGAAGUCAGAACAAUGGGGUCGACAACGACCACAACGGCAGCGACAGCAGUGCCAACAUGGUCAUAAUGCCUGUUUUUGAUAGAUGCUUUAAAAACUAAACUUAAACAUUUGAAGAUGAAUAAAGCUAGCUUUUGAAAAUGUCAGCGAUGGAAAAAAACAUUUUAAAAUAAAUAUUCAGCUAAAGUGAACUUCAGUACUUGCAGAAGACUGCAAAGAAUGAAGAAUAAUAGAAUGUUCUCCUCUGACUAUUUUAUAUGCUUUUAGUUACUCUCUGCUUAUGUAUGUAUAGUGAUUUAUGAAGCCAGUAAUAGUUUAAUAAUCUAUUUCCGAACAAACAAUUUUGCUAAAAUAUGUAACAUUUCUCUGUAAGAAAUGAAUUAUGCAUUUUCUACUGCACAUCUGUGUUAAAGGCUGAAAUCAUAAAGUGCAGGCACUUGAAAUUUUGUGUUAUAAUCAAUUGAUUUGUAAUAAAUGUAACAAAUGCUUAACAGUAA